CUGCUGCAGACGGUUCAUGCAGAGUAUUCUGUCUUCCUCAACCAGAUGAGUGUCAUGAUGCCUACUCCCGGCUUUAUGCAUCCCC